rnacentral:rRNA from 1 species
AGUAGUUUGACUCCGUGGACUACGAGGACACGCUGGCGGCGUGCCUAACACAUGCAAGUCGAGCGGGGUCCAUCCAGUGGCAACACUGGGGAAGACCUAGCGGCGAACGGGUGAGUAACACGUGAGGAACUUGCCCCGGAGUACGGGAUAACUCGAGGAAACUCGAGCUAAUACCGUAUGCCCUCUUCUGGUCGCAUGGCCGGAUGAGGAAAGAUUCAUCGCUCCGGGAGAGCCUCGCGGCCUAUCAGCUAGUUGGUGGGGUAACGGCCCACCAAGGCAUCGACGGGUAGCUGGUCUGAGAGGACGAUCAGCCACACUGGGACUGAGACACGGCCCAGACUCCUACGGGAGGCAGCAGUGGGGAAUCUUGCGCAAUGGGCGAAAGCCUGACGCAGCGACGCCGCGUGCGGGAUGAAGGCCUUCGGGUUGUAAACCGCUUUCAGCAGGGAAGAAACUGACGGUACCUGCAGAAGAAGCCCCGGCCAACUACGUG